UGGGACAUUAAAAAGUGAUUU
ensembl:piRNA 21ur-4532 ncRNA